UCAAAUCAGGUAGGACUACCCGCUGGACUUAAGCAUAUCAAUAAGCGGAGGAAAAGAAACUAACAAGGAUUCCCCUAGUAACUGCGAGUGAAGCGGGAAAAGCUCAAAUUUGAAAUCUGGCAGUUCUUGACUGUCCGAGUUGUAAUCUAGAGAAGUGUUACCUGUGCUGGACCGUGUGCAAGUCUCCUGGAAUGGAGCGUCAUAGAGGGUGAGAAUCCCGUCUUUAACACGGACUACCAUGUACAUUACGGUGCGCUCUCAAAGAGUCGAGUUGUUUGGGAAUGCAGCUCAAAAUGGGUGGUAAAUGCCAUCUAAAGCUAAAUAUUGGCGAGAGACCGAUAGCGAACAAGUACCGUGAGGGAAAGAUGAAAAGUACUUUGGAAAGAGAGUUAAACAGUAUGUGAAAUUGCUGAAAGGGAAACGCUUGAAGUCAGUCGCGUUGGCUAGAAAUCAGCCUUGCUUUUGCUUGGUGUACUUUCUGGUUGACGGGUCAGCAUCAAUUUUGAUCACUGGAUAAAGUCUUUGGGAAUGUGGCAUCUUUGGAUGUGUUAUAGCCCAUUGUCGCAUACAGUGGUUGGGAUUGAGGAACUCAGCACGCCGCAAGGCCAGGUUUCGACCAUGUUCGUGCUUAGGAUGCUGGCAUAAUGGCUUUAAUCGACCCGUCUUGAAACACGGACCAA
rnacentral:rRNA from 1 species